UACGGGGGGGGCAAGCGUUGUUCGGAAUUACUGGGCGUAAAGGGCUCGUAGGCGGCCAACUAAGUCAGACGUGAAAUCCCUCGGCUUAACCGGGGAACUGCGUCUGAUACUGGAUGGCUUGAGAUUGGGAGAGGGAUGCGGAAUUCCAGGUGUAGCGGUGAAAUGCGUAGAUAUCUGGAGGAACACCGGUGGCGAAGGCGGCAUCCUGGACCAACACUGACGCUGAAUAGCGAAAGCCAGGGGAGCAAACGGG
rnacentral:rRNA from 1 species